GGCCAUAUAGCUUUGUAACACCGGUUCCCGUAUGAUCACCGAAGUUAGGCAAUGUCGAGCCUGAUUAGUACCUAGAUGGGUGACUUGCUAAAGUCUAGGU